rnacentral:rRNA from 1 species
GACGAACGCUGGCGGCGUGCCUAAUACAUGCAAGUCGAACGCAGUGGGGACGGGUGAGUAACACGUGGGUAACCUCCCAUCAGAGGGGAUAACACUUGGAAACUGGUGCUAAACCGAUACUGAUGGAUGGACCCGCGGUGCAUUAGCUAGUUGGUGAGGUAACGGCGCACCCAGGCGACGAUGCAUAGCUGACCUGAGAGGGUGACCGGCCACACUGGGACUGAGACACGGUCCAGACUCCUACGGGAGGCAGCAGUAGGGAAUCUUGGGCAAUGGGCGAAAGUCUGACGGAGCAACGCCGCGUGAGUGAAGAAGGUUUUCGGAUCGUAAAACACUGUUGGUAGAGAAGCGGUAUCUAACCAGGAAGCCACGGCUAACUACGUGCCAGCAGCCGCGGUAAUAC